CAGUUCUCUCUAGCGCCUCAGUGUAGGUACCUGUAAAAUGGAGAUAGUCGUGCUGGCCUGGCUUGCAAAACUUCUAUAGACAUUUGCAAGAUCAGGUGCAAUAUCUACUUGCUCCACCUUUGCCAUGACUAUGGAUGAUAGCAAAUGUCAUAAUUCUCCUUUUAACGGGGUUAACUCAGCACCACAGACAAACAAAGCGCUGUCCCUAAGCAAAUGAGGCAAAGAGAACUUUGCAAGGUUGGUUAAAUUAAUUGUUUAAAGGACUCGAGAGCUUUUGAUGAAAGAUGCAAUGGGAGUGACAAUUAUUAUUCUUCAGUCCCCUUCCUCUCUUUGUCUCUUCCCUUCACUGGGCUUUGUGCAGAAGUUUGCUGCAUGUCAGUGCCCAAAGAGGAGUAAAAUGGACCAAAAAUCUCCUGGAAGAGGAUGGGGGCGGGGAGGGAAAGGCAACAGCUUCCCUGGUAUUACUGCAUAAGCCACAUCCACCCAGCGGGUGCUGCAAACUCAGUGGGUGCUGGCAAGCUCAAUGUGGUAUGUACCCAUUGAAGCAAUGGAGCAUUAUUUGGCAUCAUAAAUUACAGCUUCUAGAAGGAGCAAUAGCAUUUUGCAGUGUCUUUCCAACACACUGCAGCUGAUCUGCUUGUAUGAGGACUGUGGGACCUUGAUUGCACCAGGCAGCAAAGCUGUAGACCUGAAUUCCUGACCAAACAACCCAUGUGUUAGGGGUUAGACUAGAUGACCCUUGCAGUCUCUUCUAACCCUAUGGUUCUAUGAUUCUCUGUAAGCCGGUUUCUGCCACCUGGAAGCCCAGGGAACCUGCCCAGCUUGCUCUGAAGAGCCAGACCAUCACUCCCUGUUUUCAAGAGGGAAUGAUGCAGUGGAGAACAGCAGUUCAGGAGACACAAUUUUAUCCCCAGGUACCUUUUAAGGCAUGAAAGGGAGGACUGGUCCCAAAGUGAGCCAGAGCUCCCUGGGAACUGAGCUGGGGCAGUCUCUAAGUAGCACUUGUCUUGAGGUACAAAAAAUGGCUCUUACCCUAUUGUUUGCACAAGGGAAAAUAUUAUGCAAAAGAUUAAAAUAAACGUUUUGGGGAAAUAGGGGAAGAUUGAGCAGUUGCUGCUGUGCGUUCUCAGGUCUGCCUCAUGCUUUUGGCUCCACAGCCAGGUCUUGAGAGUGCUCUCAGGACUUGCAAAUGCAAGGAAGUUUCCAAAAUCUAAGCACUUUCAGUGGCACAGGCAUCACAGUGACCUUGACCAAACUACAGCAGGAGAGGGACAGAAAGGUGGGUCCUGGCCCAGCAGGCUUCGAAGAUGGAGACCUGUUAUUUUCUGAUUUAGAAAAAAUAGAAUUGAUGUCAGCUGUGUCUUUGGCAGCGUAAACACCAUGUGACGGUGGGGUUGAGCUGACGGGAAAUCAUGUCAGUUUCCACUUGCAGGCUGGCUUGUGCCGGCUGUGCUCUUCUCUGUCCAGACUUGCACCAUGGCACUACAAGAGUGGCCCCUUCAAUGAGCACAGAGAAUGUCCUCAGUCGCUCCAGGAGCAGCUCUGAUGUAAAAUCACCACUCGGCGUCCGAGGGAGGAAAUGGUUUAACAAACCAACGGGCCGAUAGUUUCUGCUGCUCACUCACGGGAAGUGAAAUGAGGUAAAGCAAAAGUGCGUUGUUCUCCAGCAAGACAACGAUCCUACUGGGGGCCGUGGAGCAAGGAUUUGAUUUCUCCGCACACUGAGCUUUUGCCUGAAGAGAGUGCACAGUAUAGCAGAAAUUCUGAGAUGUCAGCCGGCAGCUGGCGUGGUGAGAGUCGAAGAGAAAAUGAGCAGCUCGCUAUGUGCCCACAGGCAUAAGCAUGAGACAGCGACAUGGGCAAAGUGAUUUUCAGUGUGACAGUGUUGGAGUUUGCUGGCCGCAUACAAUUAAAACAGAAUAAAACCCUCUUCUUGCUGAGCUCCAGAUCACAGAUGGUCCCCCAAUGGGGUGCAGCAGCAGCAUAAGAAACACUCAGGCAAAAUGGGGAAACUGAAGCACAGAGUGAUUACAUGAGUUGCCCAAGGUCGCACAAGAAGUCUGGAGUGACACCAAAUCCUCCAAGCCCCAGUUCAGUGCUUUAUCUCCACUGACACCCUCUUAUUCUAGGUGUUCAGUAACUUGUAGAAUCAAACACAAACUUAACACCAGUAUUCUUAAAUAUCUGAAAAGUUAAAUAUUGAGCAACAAGUUUCAGGAGAAAUGGACCUUAAGAGAAGACUAUAUUCUCCAAGACGUUAUAGAAGAUGGAUGGGUGGAGGGAAUCCAAGUAAUAUUUGGAAAUAUUAAAAUACAGUCUAUAUUGUUUGGUAUUGCUUUAGAUGUCUGAGUUUUUUCAGGCCAGGGAAUGGGAGGGAAGUCGGAAAUGAAAGGGGUGGGGAGUAAGAAAGAGGUACCAUUAAGAGUUCUGGCCAACCUCUAAUUUGCUAUUCAGUUUACCAGCCUGUAGUUUAUUAUGUAUGGUAUGUGAAGGAACCUGUUUAGCCAGAAGGGAAAUGCCUUUUGUGUUAAGAGUGACCGUAAUCUAAUAUGGCCUUUUGACUUGACUCAAUUAAAUCCUUUCUGUUUCGAUUAAAUAAUCAGCCACAAUUUAAUAAAAUGAAUUUCAGU